UCUCUGUCUUAUUGCUCCCAUCCUAUCCACUACCACAAUCACUCCUUCCUUAUCCCAUCGAUCCUUAUUUUUAAUCUUAUCUUUCUUAGUAUGAAUAUAGAUCCACCACAAUAUACCUAUUUUCAAAACAUUCAUCCUCUAAACAUGAGAGUUCUUGAUUAGACAACACUCCACCUUAUACAACAUAGUUUGUCUAACCAUCAGUCUAUACUUACCUUUAUGUUUUGGUGGCACCUUUUUAAUUAUCACAUCCAUACUCUCGAUACAAGCCUCCAUUUUAUCAAC
rnacentral:lncRNA from 1 species